UAGGGAAUAUUAGAAAUGGACGAAAGUCUGAUCUAGCAACACCGCGUGUGCGAAGAAGGCCUUCGGGUCGUAAAGCACUUUUUGGAAGGAAUAGGAAGGAAUGUACUUCCAGAAUAAGUCUCGGCUAACUACGUGCCAGCAGCCGCGGUAACACGUAGGAGGCGAACGUUAUCCGGAUUUACUGGGCGUAAAGCGCGUGUAGGUGGUACUGUAAGUAGGGCGUGAAAGCUCCUGGCUCAACUGGGAGAGGCCGUUCUAAACUGCAGAGCUAGAGGAUGGUAGAGGGAGGUGGAAUUCCAGGUGUAGCGGUGGAAUGCGCAGAUAUCUGGAGGAGCACCGGUGGCGAAGGCGGCCUCCUGGACCAUUCC
rnacentral:rRNA from 1 species